rnacentral:rRNA from 1 species
UAUUGGACAAUGAGCGCAAGCUUGAUCCAGCAAUGUCGCGUGUGUGAUGAAGGUUUAUAAUACUGUAAAACACUUUUUUUAAGGAAUAAAAAAAUUUUAACUAAUAAUUAAAAUUAAUGAAUGUACUUAAAGAAUAAGUACCGGCUAAUCACGUGCCAGCAGCCGCGGUAAGACGUGGGGUGCUAGCGUUAAUCARAAUAAUUGGGCGUAAAGUGUGUUCCGGCUGUUUAAAAAGAUUUGUAUUAAAUAUUUAGGUUCAACCUAAAAAAUGUAUAAAUUACUCUUAAACUAGAGUUUAAUAUAAGGAAAAAGAAUUUUGUAUGUAGCGGUGAAAUGUGUAGAUAUACAAAGGAACGCCGAAGGCGAAAGCAUUUUCCUUGGUUAAAACUGACGCUUAUACACGAAAGCGUGGGUAGCAAACAGGAUUAGAUACCCUGGUAGUCCACGCCCUAAACUAUGUCGAUUAGCUGUUUUUUAGUAGCGAAGCUAACGCGUUAAAUCGACCGCCUGGGGACUACGAUCGCAAGGUUAAAACUCAAAGGAAUUGACGGGGACCAGCACAAGCGGUGGAUGAUGUGGAUUAAUUCGAUGAUACACGAAAAACCUUACCUACUCUUGACRUGGUUAGAAUCUUAUUGAAAAAUAAGAAUGCUUGAAAAAGAACUAACACACAGGUGCUGCAUGGCUGUUGUCAGCUCGUGUCGUGAGAUGUUGGGUUAAGUCCCGCAACGAGCGCAACCCCCACUCUUAGUUGCUAUAUUUUAAGUACUUUAAGAGAACUGCC